AAUGUAUUAUUAUUAUUAACCUACAUAAUAUAAAUAAUUUGCUGUUUAAAGUUGUUGGUCAUUUAAAGUUUUUCUUCAGAAAAUUCUAUCUUUGUUUUUCUGCAUUGAAGUUUAACUUGGACACGCUUGACUAAAUCUGGUCAUUUUGAUUCCCAUCUACUUUAUUGCUGAUUUGUUUUCAAAGAACUUUAAUCAAAGCUAAUGAAUAUUCUGUUACAUGUUGCUGUUUAGUUCUAAGUUAAUUAAAGUUGUUUCUGUGGAACGGAACAGUGAAGCAACCACAUUAACCCGUCUUGUUGUUAUGGCUGUGUUGUUGCAGAGCGGAUUUUGUGAUUGCAAACAUAUUUGUUUUCAUCACCAAGACGACCCUCCUGUUUCCGAGGAAGACGAGAACAAAGAGACAAGGACGGAUGACAUUCCUGUGUGGGACCAGCGGUUCCUUAAAGUCGACCAGGGAACCCUGUUUGAGCUUGCUCUGCGGCCCCGUACUAAAUGACCUAUGGACCAACACCGGUCCCCGAACCAGGGGUUGGGGACCCCUUCAUUAAAGCACCUGGAGAAUACUGCACUACUAAAUCCUGGUGUGAAUUUCCCAGCAGGAGCAACUCGGUCACAGCAGGUUGAAACAACAGUCAGACUUGCAGGUGUGAAGUAACGUCUGUGCAGAUCCAGACAGGAGAUAUUUGAAUGUGCACCCUGACAGUGUUGGUGCGAUCUGAUGACAGGGUGGCCUCACCUGUAGGAAGGUUAUGAAGUCAUUUUUCACACGUGAAGCUAAGACGAAGCUAACUAUACGAUCGUGCUAAUGCGGACAGGUACAAAUUAAAUCGUCAGUCGUUAUAAUAUACUUUUUUGCAUUAAAAAAGGUGGCAAAACAUGGACUUAUGCUAAUUUGAUCAUUGUAGUGCUGCAGCCACUUGACAUCUAAUUAGGUCGUAUGCAGCCAGUGAACCAAUGAAUUCAUUCAUAAAUUCAAUUAUUGGUCUUUUACACAACAUGUCCUUAAGUCAGAACCGAUUUUAAACCUAGCCUUUGACCACAAACAAUUUGGAUGUCAUUUCUACAUUUUUUUCCCUGUUACGUUAUUUUGGUUAAUGUUUUAUCUUUUGACUAAGUCUUAACUUUUAAUUUGCAAAAAUUUGAUGCUCUGCUGUUUUUAGCGUGAUUUUUGUUUCCCCAUUAGAACGAGCGGCCCUGAAAAAUGGUCUCAGAUACAGUAGGUUCCAAAAUGACACAGACUUACACACAUUAACACCACAUUCACAUUAACACCUGACACCGAUCCGAGGCUAGAUUCCUCUAAAGGUGGUCCUUGAAAUGUUCCCCCUCUGUCAUUUCCCCCUCCGUGUUUUGAGUCCUGGAAAGUGAGCAGAAAAAACACACACUCAUAAAACCUGCACUUUCACCUCCUCUCAUAUUACACCAGCAGGAACCACCAGCGCCUCCCCGGAAUAUUCUACAUUUUGGUCGACUUCCAAAUCAUACAAGUCGAGGCCUUAGCGAGUGAACUAACCCAUUAAGUUUAUGGCUCGGCUCUGCCCCUCUGACUCAGUCUGAUCAGCAUCAGACUGAGUAUUACACUGCGCUCUGGCAGAUGGCUGGUUUUGAUGAGUCACCUAAUGUACACUCGCUGAAGAGUAAAGUCAAACCGGAGAACACACGGAGACCACAGGCGGUCCUGAAGGAGGCUCAGACCUGAGGGACUGCUGAGGAGAGAGGCUUUCCUGUCCCUUAUUGUUAGAACAGCAGUCGGAGGAACUUGAUAUCCACAUCGUGCUGCAACACUUUCCCCUCUGUUGAUGUCACAUUUGCAUUCAUUUCACCUCUUUCUUUUUUUUUAAACUAGUUUUAAAUUUAAU